UUCUUUAAGAAUUAAUUUAAAGUAAAACCUGCUCAAUGAAUUUUAUAAAUAGCCGCCAUUUAUCGCGCUAAGGUAGCAUAAUCAUUUGCUUUAUAAUUGAAAGAUAGUAUGAAAGGUUAAACGAUAGGUAAUUGUUUCUUAUCAUCAAAUUAAACUAUUAUUAGCGUUAAAAACCUCUAAUUAAAAAGUAAGACGACAAGACCCUGAUAAACUCAAUAAUUUAGUUGGGGAGACAAAAUAAAAACACCUUAUUUUUUAAAACACCAAAAUUAAACAAAAAUUAAGAAAAGUUACUACAGGGAUAACAGCGCAAUUAUUUUUAAAAGUUCUCAUUAAAAAAAAAGAUUACGACCUCGAUGUUGAAUUAAUUAUUCUUUAUGAUGCAAAAAUCAUACAAAGAAAGUCUGUUCGACUUAUAAUAAAUU
rnacentral:rRNA from 1 species